rnacentral:rRNA from 1 species
UAACACAUGCAAGUCGAGCGGAUGACGGGAGCUUGCUCCUGGAUUCAGCGGCGGACGGGUGAGUAAUGCCUAGGAAUCUGCCUGGUAGUGGGGGACAACGUUUCGAAAGGAACGCUAAUACCGCAUACGUCCUACGGGAGAAAGCAGGGGACCUUCGGGCCUUGCGCUAUCAGAUGAGCCUAGGUCGGAUUAGCUAGUUGGUGGGGUAAUGGCUCACCAAGGCGACGAUCCGUAACUGGUCUGAGAGGAUGAUCAGUCACACUGGAACUGAGACACGGUCCAGACUCCUACGGGAGGCAGCAGUGGGGAAUAUUGGACAAUGGGCGAAAGCCUGAUCCAGCCAUGCCGCGUGUGUGAAGAAGGUCUUCGGAUUGUAAAGCACUUUAAGUUGGGAGGAAGGGCAGUAAGCGAAUACCUUGCUGUUUUGACGUUACCGACAGAAUAAGCACCGGCUAACUCUGUGCCAGCAGCCGCGGUAAUACAGAGGGUGCAAGCGUUAAUCGGAAUUACUGGGCGUAAAGCGCGCGUAGGUGGUUCGUUAAGUUGGAUGUGAAAGCCCCGGGCUCAACCUGGGAACUG